GGGCGGCGUGAGAGCCUCGGGGCGGGGGCGGGGCCUGGCGCGUCCGCCGAGCGCGGGGGUUUGUUUAUUUUCCCGGUUGGUAGCGGCGCUGGCGCUGGUUAGAGGUUCGCCGGUGACGUGAGCGCCCGAGUUGGGGGAGAGGACCAGAACCACCUGCUGGAGAAAGGGAGCUACGGGGGCCGGGCAGGGUCCAAACGCCUCACGUGGGCGGCGGCGCCACGGUCUUCGGGGUCACAGGGAAGAGAAGGGCUCUCCUCAAGCGGGUGGAAGGAGGGAGGCCUCCCGAGGGAAUGAGACUCCAGGCCACUCCCCCGCAGCAAGGCAGGAUCACCUGCGUCGCGGAGAGCAGUUAGAGGUCCCUGGAGUGGAAAAGGGCAGUGGGACCUGGUAGCUUGGGUUCCCUGCAACUUGGGGUUCGACCUCCAGGCAAUGAAGUAGGGAUGGUCCUGCAAGUCAAGAUUCCAGUAGCAAGAGUGCAUCAGAUCUCUGUAAGGAAAAUAACUAACAUUGCUCAGUUCCCUGUAGAGUUGCAGGGCGCUUUGACGUUAUCUCCCUUGGUUCUCCAUCAGGUCGUAGUGGACUAAUUUUACAGGCGAAGUUAAGUGACUUACCCAAAACCUCACAGCUAAUAAACGGCAGAGCCGGCACCCAGCUGUACUGGCUUCCAGCGCAUCCCAUUAUCUCCAUAAAUCCCCCUGAUUCAACUAAUAUUAGACGCCCCACAGGUAAGAUGCUUCAGAGUUAGAGGGGAGUUGAAGAUACCUUUGCCUUCAAAGAAGUAAGGAAUGAAACAAAGAUAAAACAGACAAUAAAAGACAAACCAUGAUAGGUGCCACGUGAAAAGUGGCAGAGUACUGCCGGGAAUCAAAGAACCGUGUAUAUCUGUCUUGGGGAUAAGGAAAGAAACGCAGCAUGAAGGAGUAGGCAUUUGGGAUUGACCUUGAAGGAGACAGGGAGAGUUUUACAGCAAGAAGGGAUAGCAUGAGAAUAUAUAUGAAGGCGAAUCAGUGAAAGUUGUGUUGGGGAAAGAGCAAAGACUCCAGGUAUGUUGAGAGGUAGAAAAGACAAAGGAGUAUGGGGCCUAAGAUACCAAAUGGAUGAAUUUAUAUUUAAUUCAGUAUUUUGAGUUUUUAUGGUUCAGAAGUUUGGGGGAAGAAAAGGAAGGUUUUUUUUUUCUUUAUGCUAGUGAUUUAUCUGUGAAGGGAAGCAGAAAUCAGAGGUGGAAAAACUGACAGAUCUACUGUAGGCCAGGUAAAAGGUAAUGAUGAGUCUGACCUAAAGGGACAGCCAGGGGAAUUUAAAGAGCAUAGUUGAGAGAUGAUGUGCAUGCAGAAUCUAUAGAAUUUGCUAACUGAUUGAUUAAUUGUGGGUAGGAAGAGAGAAAUCAAAGAAAGUGGAGGUUUUGAGUUUCUAGAUAAUUGCAAGAGAGAAAAGAGACAAUUACAAAGGAAAGGAGAAGGAGCUACUUCUUGAGAGAAGAUCAGUUUAGAUUUAGACAUUUUAAGAAUUCAAAGGGUUGUCAAGACAGCCAGACGGACAUGGACACUAAUAAGUUAGAAAUAAAGGUUUUGUAAUAUGGGAAAGAGGACUGAGCUAGAAAAUAGACUCAUAGAUAAUCAGCCUAGGAGUGAUAUUGCUGUGAGAUAAAAGAAGAAAACAAAGUCAGAAUCUUGGAAAACACCCUCUUCAGAGUCUCGCUGCUCAAAACGUGGUCAGUGGCCCAGCAGCACUGACAUGAGGACCUUAGUUGGAAACUCAGAAUCUCAGGCUCCACCCCAGACCUGCUGAACCAGCAUCUUCAACUUAACAAGAACCCGAAGAGAUUUGUGCCACAUCAAAAAGUUUGAGAAGCUCUGAUCUAGGUGAGCCAAGCCAGCAAAGAAAGGGGGUGGAGCAGAAAAUGGGAGGAGAAUAGGGUAAUGCAGAAUCAUCAAGACAAGGUAAAUUGGACUUUCACAAAAACGGGGCUGGAAGGAGUGUUGCUCAACAAUAUCCAAAACCACAGAGGUUGAAAAGCACAAGGAAAGAAGGUAUGUUUGCACUUUGUGAUUAGGUAGUAGGGUCUUUAAGACCACAUUGUUCUCAUUGAAAGCCUGGGAAGAAAGAUCCCCUUUCUGGUCAAGGUUAGUCUAGGGAUCCAUCCCCUCUUCCCCAGUUCCCACGUAUAUGGGACAUGUCGAGAUAAGUAGAUAGAUUGGACAGUGGGAGAAAGUAGUUCUCUUCCAGUUGCUUCUAUUUUCUCAGCAAAGUGAGGAACAAGAUCAUUUUGGCAGACUGCUAAUUGUCCAUCAUAAUUUAGUCUCCCCUUCUCCCUGAAAACACAGACUGCUUUUCUCAGCCUCUCUUUCAGUUGCAUAUGGUCAAGUAUUAAGUUAUAGAACAUGAGCAGAUGUUAUGUCUGCCACUGUCAGGCCAAGGCGUUUACUUUGAGAGUACUUGUGCCUCUUUCAUACAUUUUCCUUUCUGCCAGCUGGACCCUGGACACGGUGACUCUGAUUCAAUUAUGCAGAUGACCACAAGCCUCUGGGGUUGGCAGAGCCACAAGAAAGAAGGUGCCUGGAUGAAGGAGAGCUACCCACUGACCUGGACACCCAAUUAUGUCAUAGGUGCUGCAAUCUAGAGACAAAAUAUUCCUUACACUGCCAGAUACUUGCAAACUAAGGGGAACGAGCUUCCCUCUGAAUGUUUAUGAAGGAGAGACCACUGUGAGGAUAGACAGUGAAGUGCAACUACAGCCCGCAAAUGAAAAUGAAUAAAAUUAAUCCAGCCCCUCAAGGCAGUCAUCUGUCUUAGAGCUAUUGGAAUCCUGGAUCAUUGUGGGAAAUGAAAAGAACUGGUUUUUAGCAAGGAGACCAAGAAACUCUACUCCCUAGGGGCUAGCAAUGAGAGAAAGGAAGCCUUGAGUCUUUGAGCACAGGGUGACAGUUUGGGUCCUAUGUGAGAUGAUCAAAUCCACAGCAACAGAGGAAAGGACAAAAGGAAAAGAUACUUCGAUGGAAUCAGCAGCCAUUGAUCCAAUGCCAACUCCAAGACUGGAACGUCGCAAUGAUAGUUCCAAGGCGGAAAUUUGACGUAAUUCUUUUCGACACAGUUUUACAGGCAUCUUGCAUGUGAAUAACUCACAACUUUAAUUCAUGGAACAAAUUGAGAAAUAGUCUUUUGGGGGUUUGGUACUCCCUGGAAACAUAAGAGUGCUUUGGGCACCUCUGGUGCCUUUCCAUGCCUGCCUUCUCUGCUGUUCUUGCUACUAGUGAAUUCUAAAUCAUGGCCAAGUGAUGCCAGCACUGGAUAAUAUUGGCUCUGCCCCAUAUCUCGAGGGAAAACUCUGGGACUUGGCAUUAUAUGUGUGGGAAUCUGGCCUUGGUUGGCACUCCCAGCAUGAUAGCAGGGUUCUGCUGUCUGAAUGUACUCUGGGGUGUGCGCCACAAUUUCUGUCAUCGAAAUGGAGAUGAGAGAAUAUGCCCUUGGUGGGGACACCCCACUGGAAUUAGAGUGAAGAGAUCAAAGCUAGAGGUUCUUAAAUCAAAGAAUGUCUAAUAGCAAAGACAAAAACUUGCUUAAGAGAAAUGCAUACAGGUACUAGACCUAAUAUGAUGAAAAAUGCUAACUUCAACAUAUUGAUGCAUGCUUAGUAUACUUUUAGUCCUGCAAAGACAAAA
rnacentral:lncRNA from 1 species